GCCUUUGGUUUCCGCUAAAGGCUAUAAAAGGGAAUCCGGUGAGAGUCCGGGACAGUGCCCGCUACUGUAAGCGCUUUCAAGGAAGGAGGAACUCCACACAUACCACUGCCUGCGGGCGGGAAGGUCUGCCUCCUUCGGCGUAAGUCAGGAAACCUGCCAAGCGAAG
rnacentral:ncRNA from 1 species